rnacentral:rRNA from 1 species
CCUGCAGGCGGUUUGUUAAGUUAAUUGUGAAAUCCCUCGGCUUAACCGAGGAAUUGCUGUUAAAACUGGCAAGCUAGAGUGUUGGAGGGGUAAGUGGAAUUCUUGGUGGAGCGGUGGAAUGCGUAGAUAUCAAGAGGAACGCCGGAGGCGAAAGCGACUUACUAGACAACUACUGACGCUGAGGGGCGAAAGCUAGGGUAGCAAACG